CCAAGCCUGAGCCCAAACCCAAGCACGACCAGUGCAUCAUCACAGUCCCUCCUAACCCAGCAACACACUGUAUCAUCCUUUAUUUUCCAUAUUGAGAUGUUUUAUGAGUUUCAUCAUGUCAUAUUGUAAGACUACAUGGAGUACACACAUCAGGAGACCAUGGCGUGUAACGGGAGAACUACAGCAGUCGUGGACCACGGAAGUCGCAUGAUGAAGGUUAGUUUAGCCCCUUUCAUUUGCACUUUCAUUUCUUCUCACCUUCAUGUUUGCUUGGUCAACUAACAUGCAUAACAUUUUUGACUCCCUGUCGUCUGACAUGCCUCCUAUAAUGGAACCACCACCACCACCUGGUGGACCAUAACUAGUGUUGGCUACGUCUGAAGAAUUUUUGGCACAACACUCUGCAACUCCGGGAACCGGUGGAUCAUCCAUUGGUGGUGGUACCAACUAUGGCAUCACUCCCGAGUCACGGAGCCCUAUCACUCCAAUGCACCGAGGAGGUGGCGGUGGUGGUCUUGACGGUAGCGGUGUCGGUAGCAGUGACGACCUCGGCUUUUGUGGUCUUGGCGGUGAUGAACUUGGUGAUGGACGUACUGGCGCUUAAGCUCUAUGUGGUGCUGGUGAUGACUUCUAUCUUUGAUGCUUCUCUACUAUGGACUUAUGUUGUGUUGUUCGACUUGUGUUGUGUUGUUCGACUUACGUUGUGUUGUUUCGACUUAUGUUGUGUUGAUUCGACUUAUGUUGUGAUGGUAAUACUUAUCUUGUGGUGAUAA